rnacentral:rRNA from 1 species
UACGUAGGGGGCAAGCGUUGUCCGGAUUUAUUGGGCGUAAAGAGCGUGUAGGCGGCCAAGCAGGUCCGCUGUGAAAACUCGAGGCUCAACCUCGAGACGUCGGUGGAAACCGUUUGGCUAGAGUCCGGAAGAGGAGAGUGGAAUUCCCGGUGUAGCGGUGAAAUGCGCAGAUAUCGGGAAGAACACCCGUGGCGAAGGCGGCGACCUGGGCCAAUAUUGACGCUGAGGCGCGAAAGCUCGGGGAGCGAACGGG